rnacentral:rRNA from 1 species
AGGACGAACGCUGGCGGCGUGCCUAAAACAUGCAAGUCGAACGAGGUAGCAAUACCUAGUGGCGAACGGCGGAGUAAUACAUGAACAACGUGCCCUGAAGUCCGGGACAAACGCAGAAAUGCCAUAAAUACCGGAUGUGGCCCAAACCUGGCAUCAGGAUUGGAUUAAAUGGUUUUUUCGCUUCAGGAGCGGUUCAUGGCCUAUCAGGUAGUUGGUGGGGUAAUGGCCUACCAAGCCGACGACAGGUAGCGGGUCUGAGAGGAUGAUCCGCUCGAGUGGACUGAGACGACGGCCCACCACACCGUACGGGUCGGCGAGCGAGGUUACGGGAAUCGUUGCACGUAAGU